rnacentral:rRNA from 1 species
CGGAGGAAAAGAAACCAACAGGGAUUGCCUUAGUAGCGGCGAGUGAAGCGGCAAAAGCUCAAAUUUGAAAUCUGGCACUUUCAGUGUCCGAGUUGUAAUUUGAAGAAGGUAUCUUUGGGUCUGGCUCUUGUCUAUGUUUCUUGGAACAGAACGUCACAGAGGGUGAGAAUCCCGUGCGAUGAGAUGUCCCAGACCUAUGUAAAGUUCCUUCGAAGAGUCGAGUUGUUUGGGAAUGCAGCUCUAAGUGGGUGGUAAAUUCCAUCUAAAGCUAAAUAUUGGCGAGAGACCGAUAGCGAACAAGUACAGUGAUGGAAAGAUGAAAAGAACUUUGAAAAGAGAGUGAAAAAGUACGUGAAAUUGUUGAAAGGGAAGGGCUUGAGAUCAGACUUGGUAUUUUGUAUGUUACUCUCUCGGGGGUGGCCUCUACAGUUUACCGGGCCAGCAUCAGUUUGAGCGGUAGGAUAAGUGCAAAGAAAUGUGGCACUGCUUCGGUAGUGUGUUAUAGUCUUUGUCGAUACUGCCAGCUUAGACUGAGGACUGCGGCUUCGGCCUAGGAUGUUGGCAUAAUGAUCUUAAGUCGCCCGUCUUGAAACCACGG